UCCACCCCAACUUUCUUGCAAAAACUAACUUCUUUCCUUACAUCUAUCAGGGAUACCUGUUGUGGGGUUGUGACUAUAACUGCACCAUCUAUUCCAGUUGUUUGGAGGAAUUGAACGAUUGAAAUAUGUUCAUCUGACGUCCCAGGUGGAGCAUCAACCACAAGGAAAUCAAGCUCUCCCCAAUAAACUUCUUUGAGGAAUUGCUUAAUUAGACCAUUCUUGCGAGGCCCUCUCCAUAUGACAGCUUCAUCAGGGUUGGGGAGCAUGAAACCAAUUGACAUAACCCCAAGGUUAGACUCAACGUAAACAGGGGACCAUCCAAUAUUACUCUGGUGUAUCUCUCGUCCUUCGAGACCAAGCAUCUUUGGGAUGCUGGGGCCACAGAUAUCAAUGUCAAGGAGACCUACUUGAAAAUCCAUAGCUGCCAAUGCAAAAGCAAGUUGAGCUGAGAAAGUACUCUUACCAACUCCACCUUUGCCAGAUAAAACCAGUAUCUUGUGCUUCACAGUUGCCAUUCUUUCUACUAUUGCAACCAAGUCUGCACGAAACCAUCAAUACAAAACCGCCGAAAAUGAGUACCAUGUGUAUAUCAUUGAUAAAUAAAGCCUAUCAUGAUACCACUGUACCACAGGUAAAAAUAAUUAAGGGAAAACAAACGGCUGGAAAAUACCGCAUGUAUUGGAACUUUACCUUUACUUAAGAAAAAAAUAUACCGCAUGUAUUGGAACUCAGAUAUGUCCUAACUUGGUAAAUUAAACAAGCCAAUUAGUAUUACGCUAUCGACCACUUUAUCAUAUCAAUUUUCGACAACCUAGCUCUCAGUAUCAAACAAGUUAUCCAUUAGAAAGCGCAAUCAACAAUCCCCCAAACUUUCCUUUGCUACUCAUUGCAGUAUACUAUACAUACAAGAAAGAGCAACUUGAGUUGCACCAUAUCUACACACAAUCAUCAGAUCAAAAUCAACAUGCCAAAACAACAGUUUUUAAAUUAGAAAAGGUAACAUUGAAAUGGAAGAUAGAUGCCUCUGCCUGACAGGUGCUUGAUUUUAUUUAGAGGUUCUAGUGUGUGAACAUUAGCACAUUUGUCUCUGGAGAAGAUGAUCCUUUCUUUCCCUUUUCCGGAUUAACAAAAAAGAGUCAUGGCAACAGCAGUAUAAUUUUGUUGUUGCUCAUUCUACAACGAUUUCUUAAGAAAAUAGAAUAAAUUAGACUACUUCUUCUUAAGUUGGCUUCUUGCUGCAGAGACUAAAAACUCCCAUCCUACCAAUUAUCGCAACGCAUGCACUUUGGAGCUUUGUAUAUAUCUUUUCUUUCCUUUUGCAUAUGACAUGCCAAGUUUGUCUUUUUCUCUGAACUAUAUGAAAAACGUUCUCUUUUCUUCCUAGUACUUAUUCCAAGCUAAUGCUUUACGCUUUUUAACUCAUUCCUAAGUUAAUGGUUUUAUUAAGAUUCCAACAUAACUAAUUUAAAUAUCCAUCCUUUGUGCCUUUUAGGUACUUCAUGAGCAUGGUUAAAGCCAAAGACCCUUAGGACCAACCACAGCCUUCCAAACUAGGGAUAAUAUGUUCACCUCUCUAAGCUUCUCCACUCAAAUACCAGCUUUAGUUUACAUGUUCAAUGCCCAAACAUGCAACCUAAGUUCAAGUCCCUCAACCUUUGCCACUUGAACUAAGCCCGUGGAGAGUAGAAUUUGAAUUCAUCAAUAGAGUAGAUGAUUUCUUCUUAUUUGCAAGGAUUGACUUUAUGUUCAAGGGUAUGUUAAGUUUAUAUCACCGAGACACCCUCAACCAGACGUACCGCGGGAACACCACCCCCAUUCAAAUCAAAAUAGAUCAAGCACCUACUACUAAGGGGAAUGAAAGGUUGACCAUAGGGUGAGAGAAUCUUAUAAUACGAGCCCGGUACACGCCCCACAAGCUCAGGAAGACAAAAAAACCUAGAUAACAUUGUACUGUCACAAUACACUCAAUAUCACAAAUAUAAGAAAAACAAGCUCAAAAAAAGUAUCUUUACACACGAAAAGAAGCAAAACAGUAACCUGGGUCAGGUCCUUUGGGAGCAGUAGCACAAAUUUCUUGAUUUGGGCAUCCUUCACAAGCAUCAGAUUUUCCUGCUGUUUCAGAUUGUGGACCUGGGCAAUCUGAAAUUUUAAAAAAAAGAAGCUUAAACAAUGAAACCAAAGAAUAAAGAUGCAAACUUUAAGGUUAAAAUCAAGAAUCUACAUACGUUCAGGAGCAUUCUCUGGGAUUUCACCGUUUUCCAUCUUCUUCAACUAGCACAACAACAAAUUCUAAAUAAAAAUUUAAACUUUAAUAGACUGCUAAAUCAAGAGUUACAGAUUACCAACUAUUGAGGUUUCAAUUGAUGCGGCCCUUUGAGGUUCAGAGAAAUUGCUGUAAAUUUGUCUAUUAGGGCAAUGGAGUUCUAUCCAAAAAAGAGAAAAUAAGGUUUUAAACCGCCUUUGACUUUUAUUUUUUGUUUAUUUAGUCCUUUUGCUCAAUGGGUUAGGAACAAGUUAUUUCGAAUUAAUUAUUUUUAGAUUGUCAUUUCAAUUGGAUAAUAUAAUAAUUUUGGGAUAACUAAUUCGAGAAAAGUUAUUCUCUAAUUGUGUCUUAACUAUUCUUAACAGAACAUGAAACAAACUCAUUCUAAAAUUAAUUUUAUAAUUAGUUACGAGUUUUUAGUAUUGUAUUAUUGUUUUUUAUAUAUAUGAUAAAGUAAUUUUCUUUGAAGCAUAUAAUCAAACAGUUUAUAAGCAUAGUAGAGAUUAACACUUAAGUUUGGCCUAAAUUGGCUAUCAGUACCACCAAUUUGUUCCAAAGAGUAACUGCAUAGCAACCAGUAACCACAUAACACUACUAAAAGCAUAACACAUCAAAGUUCCUGUUGGAGUGGGAAGGAAAAUUUUACAGCAAUCAACCUGUUCGUAAACGCGGAGGUGAUAACAUCCUCCACAUUAUUCAAAGUCGAUUUCACAGAGGGAACAUGUCCGUUUAACAAAUCAUCGUACAAAAAUCACUAGAAAUUGUAUAAUACAUCCAUAUCUAGAGUGAUAAAAGCUCUCAGUUACGAAAAAAUGUUGGUCACAAGUACCCGGAACUUAAUGAAAGAAAAGGUAAAGAAAGCCUAGAAAAAAGUUAUAAAUACUAUGCUCCAUUCUCUGUUGAGAUGUUUUUCUGAGCUAAUAUCUUUUCUAUUAUCAUCUUGAGCGCAGGGGCACUUGCUCGGCGGCAUUUAUCAUCUGAAAAGCAUGAUCUUCCAUCUUCGGCUGCUUUACAUAGCUGAGGAUCCAGUGGUACUUUUCCAAGAAACGGGACAUCCAUAUCGUUGCACAUCUUUGCUGCGCCUCCGCCACUGGUAUCAAAAACUUCACUACAAGCAAUCAAGUUCAGCAUUUCUGGGGCGUUCUCACUGAUAUAAGACAUGGCCCAUUCGGUCAUGUCUUUCUGCUCGCCAGUCUCUGUCAUUCUUGUGAAUUUGAAUUCAGAGAGUGGCUGGGAAAGACCACUCAUGUUCUCAACAACACCAAGAACCUCCACCCCAACUUUCUUGCAAAAACUAACUUCUUUCCUUACAUCUAUCAGAGAUACCUGUUGUGGGGUUGUGACUAAAACUGCACCAUCUAUUCCAGUUGCCUCGAGGGAUUGAACGAUUGUAAUCUGUUCAUCUGACGUUCCAGGUGGAGCAUCAACCACAAGGAAAUCAAGCUCUCCCCAAUCAACAUCUCUGAGGAAUUGCUUAAUUAGACCAGUCUUGCGAGGCCCUCUCCAUAUAGCAGCUUCAUCAGGGUUGGAGAUCAUGAAACCAAUUGAUAUAACCCCAAGGUUAGACUCAACAUAAGCAGGUAUCCAUCCACAAUUACUCCGGUGAAUCUCUCGUCCUUCGAGACCAAGCAUCUUUGGGAUGCUGGGGCCACAGAUAUCAAUGUCAAGGAUACCCACUUCAAAAUUCAUAGCUGCCAAUGCAAAAGCAAGUUGAGCUGAGAAAGUACUCUUACCAACUCCACCUUUGCCAGAUAAAACCAGUAUCUUGUGCUUCACAGUUGCCAUUCUUUCUACUAUUGCAACCAAGUCUGCACGAAACCAUCAAUACCAAACCGUCGAAAAUUUUAGUACUGUAUUAUUGUUUUUUAUAUAUAUGAUAAAGUAAUUUUCUUUGAAGCAUAUAAUCAAACAGUAUAUAAGCUAACACUCAAGUUUGGCCUAAAUUGGCUAUCAGUACCACCAAUUUGUUCCAAAGAGUUGCUGCAUAGCAACCAGUAACCACAUAACACUACUAAAAGCAUAACAUAUCAAAGCUCCUGUUGGAGUGGGAAGGAAAAUUUUACAGCAAUCAACCUGUUCGUAAACGCGGAGAUGAUAACAUCCUCCACAUUAUUCAGAGUCGAUUUCACAGAGGAAACAUGUCCGUUUAACAAAUCAUCGUAUAAAAAUCACUAGAAAUUGUAUAAUACAUCCAUAUCUAGAGUUAUAAAAGCUCUCAGUUACGAAAAAAUGUUGGUCACAAGUACCCGGAACUUAAUGAAAGAAAAGGUAAAGAAAGCCUAGAAAAAAGUUAUAAAUACUAUGCUCCAUUCUCUGUUGAGAUGUUUUUCUGAGCUAAUAUCUUUUCUAUUAUCAUCUUGAGCGCAGGGGCACUUGCCCGGCGGCAUUUAUCAUCUGAAAAGCAUGAUCUUCCAUCUUCGGCUGCUUUACAUAACUGAGGAUCCAGUGGUACUUUUCCAAGAAACGGGACACCCAUAUCGUUGCACAUCUUUGCAGCACCUCCGCCACUGGCAUCAAAAACUUCAGUACAAGCAAUCAAGUUCAGCAUUUCUGGGGCGUUCUCUCUCAUAUAAGACAUGGCCCAUUCGGUCAUGUCUUUCUGCUCGCCAGUUUCUGUCAUUCUUGUGAAUUUGAAUUCUGAGAGUGGCUGGGAAAGACCACUCAUGUUCUCAACAACGCCAAGAACCUCCACCCCAACUUUCUUGCAAAAACUAACUUCUUUCCUUACAUCUAUCAGAGAUACCUGUUGUGGGGUUGUGACUAUAACUGCGCCAUCUAUUCCAGUUGCUUCGAGGGAUUGAACGAUUGUAAUCUGUUCAUCUGACGUUCCAGGUGGAGCAUCAACCACAAGGAAAUCAAGCUCUCCCCAAUCAACAUCUCUGAGGAAUUGCUUAAUUAGACCAGUCUUGCGAGGCCCUCUCCAUAUAGCAGCUUCAUCAGGGUUGGAGAUCAGGAAACCAAUUGAUAUAACCCCAAGGUUAGACUCAACGUAAGCAGGUAUCCAUCCACAAUUACUCCGGCGAAUCUCUCGUCCUUCGAGACCAAGCAUCUUUGGGAUGCUGGGGCCACAGAUAUCAAUGUCAAGGAGACCCACUUGAAAAUCCAUAGCUGCCAA
rnacentral:lncRNA from 1 species